AGAAACGAAGGUCCUAGAAAAGGUGAGAGAGAAGAGCAGCAGCGGAGAGACGGGGUGGAUAUGGAAAGCUUGGUUUUCAAUCGUAGGGAGAGAGAGAAAGAUGUGAUUGGGAAGAGACAGGGAGAGAGGAAGAGGAGAUCAGAGAAAUCGUAGGGAGAGAGAGAAAGAGGCGAUUUGGAAGAGAGAGGGAGAGAGGAAGAGGAGAUCAGAGAACAAAGUGUUAAUUGGAGUUGAAUCGUUUCGUUCUCCUUCUUGGAGAUGAGUGAGAGGCCGGGUGUGAGACUGAGAGAGGGAGAGAAAGGCAGACUCCAACUAAUUGCAGAGAAGGAGAAGAGAGAGUUGAUCCUCUACAAGUCUGCAUCACAUCUGUUGAUCCCCUGACAUGUGAUAUCUUUCCAGAUUUUACCAAAUUUCUUGAUCGAGGUUCUGGAAUUAGGAAGGGAGUGAUUCUGGAUUUCUGAAAUUUUUUAUGAAGAUGAGGUGGUAAAUUUACCUCCUCCUCCUGAUGUGAGCAAUUACUUGAUAUCAGAGGAUGCUGGUUUUGUACCAAAUGGAAUUGCUCCCCUUAGUGAAGGAAUGCAUGGUGGUAAAGUUGAACGGAGACUGAACCAACAUAUGAUAGAGGUGUUAUGGACACAUUGGCUCAUUUUAAUCAUGCUGAGUUAAGACCCGAUAACUCCCAGAAACCUAUAUUAACUGUCCCUGUCUCCAAUGUCCCUGGUGCAACUUCAUUGAGACCGGUCAUGCCUACUCAUAGUAUGGGACUAUCGGGCAGAUUUAUGGGUCAACCUCCUGAACUUGCUUUUUGGUGCUCUGAUUUUCGAACUGAAAAAGUUAGCUGAAUUGGGAAAGAGUUUAAGGGAAGACUAUCAAGAGCUUUCAAUAGGUCUCUCCUCAUAAUCUAAACUAGAAGACAUAUCAUGCCAAAGUAUAACAAACCAGUUCUGCAAUGCUCUCCUCCAAUUUGUGACAGCCUUGGAGCUGACUCUUUCAUUGGACAAGGAAUCUGUUAGGAGGACAGGAGAUGACACAGGGACUUGCAGUUUCUCGGGAAUUGCAUAUGAUUAAAUUAUUAAUGAGAGAUCUCCGAAUUGGAGUGCACAAGCUGGGCUUGCCCAUAGCAAAGUUGUGGACUUGAGGCUGCAAAAUGUGCAUAAAAGCGUGCCGGAUAGACAAAUUUUUUUCACAAAUUUUUUAGCAAAGAAGCUAGAGCAUUAUUAGGAAGUUUUGAAUAUAGUAAAGGGGACAUAAAAGUUGGAGGAAUAGCUAUUGUUGCAGUGACUCCAUAGAUUAAACUCACCCUUUACUGGAUCUGUAUAUAUAAGUGCUGUCAGCUUACUUCUGAAAGCAUAUUUCUUAAAGCAAAUUCAUUGCAGAGUCUUGGGAGGUUUACAAGUAUCUAUCAUAGGCUGAUUUUAUUUUUGUUCUUUGUAGAAUCUACGAUCUUAUUAUAUUGUAAAUAUUUGAAUUUCAAAUGGGGGAGUUUACAUUCUGGUAAUUUGUUUUAGUGAUAACAAAAUAUAAAUG